rnacentral:rRNA from 1 species
UACGUAGGUGGCAAGCGUUAAUCGGAAUUACUGGGCGUAAAGCGUGCGCAGGCGGUUCGCUAAGACCGAUGUGAAAUCCCCGGGCUUAACCUGGGAACUGCAUUGGUGACUGGCGGGCUAGAGUAUGGCAGAGGGGGGGUAGAAUUCCACGUGUAGCAGUGAAAUGCGUAGAGAUGUGGAGGAAUACCGAUGGCGAAGGCAGCCCCCUGGGCCAAUACUGACGCUCAUGCACGAAAGCGUGGGGAGCAAACAGG